rnacentral:rRNA from 1 species
AUUGAACGCUAGCGGCAGGCCUAACACAUGCAAGUCGAACGGUAGCACAGAGAGCUUGCUCUCGGGUGACGAGUGGCGGACGGGUGAGUAAUGUCUGGGAAACUGCCCGAUGGAGGGGGAUAACUACUGGAAACGGUAGCUAAACCGCAUAACGUCGCAAGACCAAAGUGGGGGACCUUCGAGCCUCACACCAUCGGAUGUGCCCAGAUGGGAUUAGCUAGUAGGUGGGGUAAUGGCUCACCUAGGCGACGAUCCCUAGCUGGUCUGAGAGGAUGACCAGCCACACUGGAACUGAGACACGGUCCAGACUCCUACGGGAGGCAGCAGUGGGGAAUAUUGCACAAUGGGCGCAAGCCUGAUGCAGCCAUGCUGCGUGUAUGAAGAAGGCCUUCGGGUUGUAAAGUACUUUCAGCGGGGAGGAAGGCGGUGAAGUUAAUAGCUUCACCGAUUGACGUUACCCGCAGAAGAAGCACCGGCUAACUCCGUGCCAGCAGCCGCGGUAA